rnacentral:rRNA from 1 species
CACUGCUAUCGGGGUUCGAUUAAGCCAUGCGAGUCGAGAGGGUUCAGACCCUCGGCGCACUGCUCAGUAACACGUGGAUAACCUACCCUGAGGAGGGGGAUAACCCCGGGAAACUGGGGAUAAUACCUCAUAGGUUUCAGAUGCUGGAAUGCUCUGAAACCGAAAUGCUCCGGCGCCUCAGGAUGGAUCUGCGGCCGAUUAGGUUGUUGUUGGGGUAACGGCCCAACAAGCCCGUCAUCGGUACGGGUUGUGAGAGCAAGAGCCCGGAGAUGGAUUCUGAGACACCAAUCCAGGCCCUACGGGGCGCAGCAGGCGCGAAACCUUUACAAUGCGAGCAAUCGUGAUAAGGGAACCCCGAGUGCCUGAAACCAGGCUGUUCAGGUGUUUAAAAAGCACCUGGAGAAAGGGCCGGGCAAGACCGGUGCCAGCCGCCGCGGUAAUACCGGCGGCUCGAGUGGUGGCCGCUAUUAUUGGGCUUAAAGCGUUCGUAGCUGGGUUGUUAAGUCUCUUGGGAAAUCUCACGGCUCAACCGUGAGGCGACUAAGAGAUACUGGCAAUCUUGGGACCGGGAGAGGUGAGAGGUACUCCAGGGGUAGGAGUGAAAUCCUGUAAUCCCUGUGGGACCACCAGUGGCGAAGGCGUCUUACC